rnacentral:rRNA from 1 species
UACGGGGGGGGCAAGCGUUGCUCGGAAUUACUGGGCGUAAAGGGCUCGUAGGUGGCCAACUAAGUCAGACGUGAAAUCCCUCGGCUUAACCGGGGAACUGCGUCUGAUACUGGAUGGCUUGAGGUUGGGAGAGGGAUGCGGAAUUCCAGGUGUAGCGGUGAAAUGCGUAGAUAUCUGGAGGAACACCGGUGGCGAAGGCGGCAUCCUGGACCAAUUCUGACACUGAGGAGCGAAAGCCAGGGGAGCAAACGGG